rnacentral:rRNA from 1 species
UUAGCAUGGAAUAAUGAAAUAGGACGUGUGGUUCUAUUUUGUUGGUUUCUAGGACCGCCGUAAUGAUUAAUAGGGACAGUCGGGGGCAUCAGUAUUCAAUUGUCAGAAGUGAAAUUCUUGGAUUUAUUGAAGACUAACUACUGCGAAAGCAUUUGCCAAGGAUGUUUUCAUUAAUCAGGAACGAAAGUUAGGGGAUCGAAGACGAUCAGAUACCGUCGUAGUCUUAACCAUAAACUAUGCCGACUAGGGAUCGGACGAUGUUAAAAAUUGACUCGUUCGGCACCUUACGAGAAAUCAAAGUGCUUGGGCUCCAGGGGGAGUAUGGUCGCAAGGCUGAAACUUAUAGAAAUUGACGGAAGGGCACCACCAGGGGUGGAGCCUGCGGCUUAAUUUGACUCAACACGGGGAAACUCACCAGGUCCAGACACAAUGAGGAUUGACAGAUUGAGAGCUCUUUCUUGAUUUUGUGGGUGGUGGUGCAUGGCCGUUCUUAGUUGGUGGAGUGAUUUGUCUGCUUAAUUGCGAUAACGAACGAGACCUUAACCUGCUAACUAGCCCGUAUUGCUUUGGCAGUACGCUGGCUUCUUAGAGGGACUAUCGGCUCAAGCCGAUGGAAGCUUGAGGCGAUAACAGAUCUGUGAUGCCCUUAGAUGUUCUGGGCCGCACGCGCGCUACACUGACGGAGCCAGCGAGUACUUCCUUGGCCGAAAGGCCCGGGUAAUCUUGUUAAACUCCGUCGUGCUGGGGAUAGGGCAUUGCAAU